UCGGGAAUUUUGGGCAAUGGGCGAAAGCCUGACCCAGCAACGCCGCGUGAAGGAUGAAGUAUUUCGGUAUGUAAACUUCGAAAGAAUAGGAAGAAUAAAUGACGGUACUAUUUAUAAGGUCCGGCUAACUACGUGCCAGCAGCCGCGGUAAUACGUAGGGACCAAGCGUUGUUCGGAUUUACUGGGCGUAAAGGGCGCGUAGGCGGCAUGACAAGUCACUUGUGAAAUCUCCGGGCUUAACUCGGAACGGCCAAGUGAUACUGUCACGCUAGAGUAUUGGAGGGGCAAUCGGAAUUCUUGGUGUAGCGGUGAAAUGCGUAGAUAUCAAGAGGAACACCUGAGGUGAAGACGGGUUGCUGGCCAAAUACUGACGCUGAGGCGCGAAAGCCAGGGGAGCAAACGGGAUUAGAUACCCGAGUAGUCCCUGAGCGGGCUGGCAAGGCGCAU
rnacentral:rRNA from 1 species